UCCUACGGGAGGCAGCAGUGGGGAAUUUUGGACAAUGGGGGCAACCCUGAUCCAGCCAUUCCGCGUGAGUGAAGAAGGCCUUCGGGUUGUAAAGCUCUUUUGUCCGGAGCGAAACGGGUAGCCCUAAUACGGCUGCCUACUGACGGUACCGGAAGAAUAAGCACCGGCUAACUACGUGCCAGCAGCCGCGGUAAUACGUAGGGUGCGAGCGUUAAUCGGAAUUACUGGGCGUAAAGCGUGCGCAGGCGGUUGUGUAAGCCAGUCGUGAAAUCCCCGGGCUUAACCUGGGAAUGGCGAUUGGGACUGCACGGCUGGAGUAUGGCAGAGGGGACUGGAAUUCCUGGUGUAGCAGUGAAAUGCGUAGAUAUCAGGAGGAAUACCGAUGGCGAAGGCAGGUCCCUGGGCUGAUACUGACGCUCAUGCACGAAAGCGUGGGGAGCAAACAGGAUUAGAUACCCUGGUAGUCCACGCCCUAAACGAUGUCGACUGGUUGUUGGGGGUUUGACACUCUCAGUAACGAAGCUAACGCGUGAAGUCGACCGCCUGGGGAGUACGGCCGCAAGGUUAAAACUCAAAUGAAUUGACGG
rnacentral:rRNA from 1 species